AUGCAUAAGCUUGUCUUCCAUCUUGCUCCAAGAAUGGCGAAGCAUUGCAAGAUUUCUGUUGCCAUGGUAGCUGAUGAAGAAUCUGUGCAGAGGUCAUAUACACGGUCGUGCAUUCUCAAGGUAGAUGGAUACUCAAGAGCCAAGGCGCUACUCAAGAACGACGAGUACCUGACUUCUCCACCUUUCAGUGUUGGAGGCCACGACUGGGCCGUGACCUACUACCCAAAUGGUAGCGAGCUUUGUCCUGAUUACAUAUCUAUUUUUCUACAUCUUCGAUCCGCCCGUGCCGAAGAUGUGAAGGCGAAUUUCACGUUCAGUCUACUAGACGAGAACGGAGAACCGGUGCCUUCAUACACCCGUAACCAUGGUACACAUACAUUCUCAAGGAAAGCUCCAAACUGGGGCAACCAUAACCUGAUGAAGAAAGCCAAGCUGGAAAGAUCGGAGCAUCUCAGAGAUGAUUGUCUGACCAUCAGAUGUGAUGUCACCGUCAUGAAGGAGAUCCUCGGCGAAGAAGAAACAAGGGCUUCUCCACACGACUUGCACCAGCAUCUCGGUGAUCUCCUCAAGAGCAAAGAUGCAGCAGACCUAACAUUUCAAGUAGGCGGGGAGAUAUUCCCCGCUCAUAGGUGUGUCCUCGCCGCUCGGUCAUCUGUCUUCAAGGCGGAGCUCCUCGGCGCCAUGGAGGAGAGUUCCAGUAGUGCUAUCAAAAUAUAUGACAUGGAACCUGACGUGUUCAAGGCCUUGCUCCAUUUCAUAUACACCGACAAAGUUUCUCCUGUGAUUGAUGUGGCGAUGGCCAGUCAUCUACUCGUAGCGGCUGAUAGGUACAACAUCGGCAGCCUGAAGCAGAUCUGUGAGGAGAAACUGUGUUGUCAUAUUGAUUCAAACAUGGUGGCAACCAGUUUGGCUAUAGCUGAGCAGCAUGGUUUCCCUCGUCUCAAAGAAGCUUGUUUACUGUUCCUUGCUUCGCCACCCAAUUUGGAGGCGAUGAUGACAAGCAACGGUUAUGAGCAUCUUAAGUCCAGCUGCCCGUCUGUUCUCAAGGAGAUCAUAGCUCAAAUACUCCCGGCUGAAUGGAACGCAGCAAAGGAUAUUAUCAUGUCAAUUUAG
rnacentral:rRNA from 1 species